GACGAACGCUGGCGGCGUGCCUAAUACAUGCAAGUCGAACGGUCUUUUCUAUGGAAGCUUGCUUCCGCUGAGAAGGUAGUGGCGAACGGGUGAGUAACACGUGGGUAACCUGCCCAUAAGAGGGGGAUAACAUCCGGAAACGGGUGCUAAUACCGCAUAGUUUUCUUGAUCGCAUGAUCGAGAAAGGAAAGACGGCCUUUGUGCUGUUGCUUAUGGAUGGACCCUCGGCGUAUUAGUUAGUUGGUGAGGUAACGGCUCACCAAGACGAUGAUACGUGGCCGAACUGAGAGGGUGAUCGGCCACAUUAGGACUGAAACACGGCCCAAACUCCUGCGGGAGGCAGCAGUAGGGAAUCUUCCGCAAUGGACGAAAGUCUGACGGAGCAACGCCGCGUGAGUGAAGAAGGUUUUCGGAUCGUAAAACUCUGUUGUCAGAGAAGAACAAGUCGGAGAGUAACUGCUCCGGCCUUGACGGUAUCUGACCAGAAAGCCACGGCUAACUACGUGCCAGCCGCCGCAGUAACAC
rnacentral:rRNA from 1 species